UCCUGAUCCCNCCAUGCCGCGUGCAGGAAGACAGUCCUAUNGAUUGUAAACUGCUUUUAUACAGGAAGAAAAAAUCUGACUUGUCAGAUAUUGACGGUACUGUAUGAAUAAGAAUCGGCUAACUCCGUGCCAGCAGCCGCGGUAAUACGGAGGAUUCGAGCGUUAUCCGGAAUCAUUGGGUUUAAAGGGUUCGUAGGCGGGACAAUAAGUCAGUGGUGAAAGUUUGUGGCUCAACCAUAAAAUUGCCAUUGAUACUGUUGUUCUUGAGUUAUUGUGAAGUGGUUAGAAUGUGUAGUGUAGCGGUGAAAUGCGUAGAUAUUACACAGAACACCAAUUGCGAAGGCAUAUCACUAACAAUAUACUGACGCUGAUGAACGAAAGCGUAGGUAGCCAACAGGAUUAGAUACCCUGGUAGUCUACGCUGUAAACUAUGGUUACUAGCUGUUCGGAGCACAUUAGUGCACUGAGUGGUUAAGCGAAAGUGAUAAGUAACCCACCUGGGGAGUACGUUUGCAAGAAUGAAACUCAAAGGAAUUGACGGGGGCCCGCACAAGCGGUGGAGCAUGUGGUUUAAUUCGAUGAUACGCGAGGAACCUUACCAAGGCUUAAAUGCAUAUUGACAGUUCACGAAAGUGAAUUUUCUUCGGACAAUUUGCAAGGUGCUGCAUGGUUGUCGUCAGCUCGUGCCGUGAGGUGUCAGGUUAAGUCCUAUAACGAGCGCANCCCCUGUGGUUAGUUA
rnacentral:rRNA from 1 species